AAGAAAUAGCUAGUUUUUGAGCUGAUAAUUGUAAAUCUUUGUAAUUCUUUGCCAGCUCGAUUUACGUAUACACUGUGUUCUCUGAGGUGGUUAUGAAGACAGCUGCAUUCCUAUUGGGCGUCUUGUGCCUGUGGUCAUGGAAACCAGCCAGCGCACAGACUGUCUCCAUUGAAAACCCUACUUACAUUGCGACAGAGGGAGGCGACAGUUUGACUAUCUGUGUGGUGCUGGACAUGAACAGUGUACCCAUUACACAGGCCUCUCAAGUUGCUCUGACUAUAGACUUGCCCCUUAUCAACUUCCAGUUACUUGUGACUUUGUCGCUAGACCCCGGCGUUGAUAGGAUGUGUGGAUCGUUAAAUUUCCCCAACAACAAUGUUGACGACGGAACUCAAACUCUGACUAUCCAGGCGACCACUAACAGUGCUGGUAUUAGUUUGGGCCGGAGUGUUGCAACUCUGACUCUAUUGGAUGAUGAUGGUGUACCGAUGUGUCCAGGUCUGAGCAACCCAGAGAACGGUGCCGUCUCUUUCUCUCAAGGUAUGAUUGAAGGCUCCGUGGCAAUGUACUCGUGUAACACCCCCUAUAUCCUCAACGGGAACACUCAACGAACAUGCACUGUAUUGGUUGGGGCGGGUUUACUCUGGACUGGGACUGAACCAACAUGCGAGUUCCCAACCUCCAAUAGCGCUUCGAUAUCCUAUCAACUUGCUGCCUACACUGUCAUGGAGGCUAGUAGUACCCAGGUCUGCAUAGUCAUUGAGGGUGGCUUCGUCGGAAUUUCCUUUGGUAUCUGGUAUCACCGUGUCUUUCCUUCUUUUUCUAUUUGGGCCCACUGGGAAUUCCGCGCUGGAUUGGUGGCUGGAGACGUAGUGUGCGGUACUUUGUCUGCUGCCGAAGACAACCUUCGCGAAAAUGGCGCGACGGUCACCGUUCCUCUUGAGAUCCCAGGGAACGUGACAGGUGUUUCUGCUGUGGGAAACACUGCUUUCUCUCUUACCUUCCUCGAUAACGACGGUCCUGAAAUAGACGAGUGUGCUAUGGGUCUUGAUAACUGUUCCCCAAAUGCUUUGUGCACGAACACACCGGGAGGCUUCUUCUGUACUUGUAACUCUGGCUUCACUGGAAAUGGAGUGACUUGUUUCGAUAUCGACGAGUGUAGUCUCAGCACGAACAACUGCUCUUUUAAUGGUGCUUGUUUGAACACUGAGGGUUCCUUCCUGUGCUUCUGUAACAUUGGCUUCAGUGGAGAUGGUGUCGUGUGUGAAAAUGACAACGAGUGUAUGCUUGGCACUGACAACUGCGAUGACAAUGCUCUCUGUAUAGACACUUUUGGAGGGUUCCUUUGCAACUGUAACUCUGGUUUCCGUGGUAAUGGAAUGACCUGUCUUGAUGAAGAUGAGUGUGCUCUUGGCACGGAUAAUUGUGCUGACGAAGCUACGUGCACUAACUUUAUCGGGGGAUUCACUUGUACUUGCCCUUCAGGUUUCACGGGAGACGGUGGGACUUGCGUUGAUAUUGACGAGUGUGCCGUGGGUUCCGAUGAUUGCGAUGCCAAUGCUGCUUGUAUUAACAAUGCCGGCUCUUUCGACUGUCUUUGUUUCGUUGGUUUCCGUGGAGACGGUCGCUCUGGCAACUGUGCUGAUAUUGACGAAUGUAGUGAGGAUCAGGAUGACUGCGACGACGACAAUGCUCAGUGUACUAACACAAUGGGCAGCUUCACUUGUGCUUGUGACUCCGGUUACUUUGGUGAUGGAUCUAUGUGCACAGACAUAGACGAGUGUGCCUCUGAACAGGACAACUGUCACCCCAAUGCCACCUGCACAAACACCCCCGGCAACUUCAGCUGUGUCUGUGAUGAUGACUUCUUUGGAAACGGCGUCGUUUGCAUGCCGGACAUGGUUCAGCUACGACUGGUCCCACAGCUCUACAGUGUGGUGGAGGGGGAGUACCUUGCCGUCGCUAUCAAUGUGUACAAUCCUAGCGAUGAGAACAUCACAGUAUCCGGAAGCUUCCAUGUAUCCGGUGGUGUAUUCAGAUUUUACGUAUUCUUCACUUUUGAGGCACUGGCUCAAGCCACGUUUGUCGAAUAUGUGAACGUUAUGUUUCCUGAUGAUAGCAUUCUCAACAAGAUGGCGCAACAGAGCGUGGAAUUGGAACUGGAAUCAACCAGUGAAUUGGCAGUGGUCGUCGAGGGUUACGAUUCCGCUGAUAUUAUUGUUGUUGAUGAUGACAUUGUCAAGAUUGGCUUCAAUGCGACGCGGGUGUAUGUCCUGGAGGAUGCUGGUUUGGUGCAUGUGUGCGUGGAGCUCAUCCGAGGAGAGGGUUGCCAACGCCCCAUAGUGCUACGUGCGAACACAAAGGAGUGCCCCGACGACGCCUACCCUGCCGAUGAAGGUGCUGACUUCGAAGCCCUAUGGGAGAUUGGCUCCAUCGCUAUCAACUCAGAGCAGGGCUCGACAGAAUGUUUCUAUGUGAAUAUCGAAGAUGAUAUUAACAUUGAAGCAAACGAAACAUUCAAAAUCAUGUUGGAAGCUGUGGACGUUAACGUGUAUGUACUGGUUGACACGGUAACCGUAGUCAUCAUUGAUGACGACAACAUUACUCGGUUCUGUCCUGAACUCAGCGUUGCCAAUGGUAGCGUCACUGUUGGUGGUGGUCAACAGCUAAUGGGAGAGCAGGCGGUGGGAACCACGGCCCAUUACAGUUGUGACGAGUUCUACGAGCUGGAGGCUGGCAAUCCAUACCGGAACUGCCAGGCGAAUGGAACCUGGACAGGAGAGGAUCUGACCUGCAUGCGCAUUGCUAUCAACUUGACCUGUACCCCCUUCAUGGGGGGCAACCCCGUAGUGCAACCUGACCUUAGUUGUACGGCAAUGGGUCCACUCCCUACCUUCAAUACUGUCUGUAGCUUUAACGACGGAGCAUAUGAAGAAUGUGAUCUUGCGGCACCUAUAUCAAGUGAAGUGGUUGGCCGACUUGGUUCUGGUAACCACACCCUCUAUAUUAUGGUUACGGACAGCGAUGGAGAGACAGCUCAGUUUUCAUUCGAUUUCAUGAUUGCUCCAGCACUCGGACUUAACUGUGUGCGAGUGGAGCUCACAGCUUUCUUCUAUAGCUUCACCUGCACAGCUGACACCAGCUUGACAUCUUUGUUAUGUUCCGUGAACCCAAGUCUCGGCAAUGUCCCUUGUAUGCUAGACGUAGUCAACACCAUUCCGGCCCCACCUCUCAUGGACGGUGUCGAUUAUAGCCUCACAGUCACAGCUAUUGAUGUCUUCCAGCAGCAAGAAGUCGUUACCAGAACAUUCACACUCCCAGAUGCACCUACCCUAGAGGUGCUGUUCAUUGAUGAUACACCUAUUGUGGACGGAACUGGUAUAGUAGUCUCAUUCGAAGCAAAUAAUCCUUUGGCAUCAGCUACCUGUGCCAUUUCUGGUCGCAACCCUAUUUCUGGGCCAUGUAAUCUCGGUAUGGAUGCAUUCUCUGGUAGCUUUGUGUUCUCUCCAGUGGACAGAGUUGGUCCUAGAGACAUCACCAUCACAGCUACAGCUUCUAACGGCCAGACUUUCACACUAACCAGAGGAGUUCGUUCAGGUUCGACUGGACGGUGUUCCGCUCAUCUCAUCAACGAAGGAGUGGUUAUCAGCGGCACCAGUGUAACUGUGGAGUUUAUGAUCUCUGGGCCAACUGACGACAAUACAAGUAGUACCUGCCGAAUCGGCUCGCAAGUACUGGAUCCUUGUAAGCAGUUUGCAUGAUACUGAGUGCAUGUGUACGUAGUUUAGCGGCGCCUUUUGAUACAGAUCUAGUCGGGCAUCGCCGCCCUCCUUCCGGGAACUGGUAGAGGGCGGCGGCGCCCGACUAAUACAGAACCUCCUCGUACGUACUCAAAACAUUUUGGGUCCACAAUGUGUUAGUGUUCGUAUAUCUGUUUGUCUAUACAUGACAUGCAUAUACAUUGUAGAUAAUAUGAAAUUGUCACGUUAUAAUUUGCAUUAUCUAUACCCCCACAGUGACACAAACUUACCCCACCACUCCACACACGCACACACACACACACACACACACACACACACACACACACACACACACACACACACACAG